UCCACAUCCAUUUUAGAAGAUUUCGCUUUUGAAAUUAGGUCAGAGACCCCUGCCCAGAUGUUACCCUUGGGUUUUCGACCCGGGGAAUUUGGGUAAUAUUUAGGCACAACGUAUGCUGUUACAUAUUUAAAGAAAAAAACAAUUUAAAAAGCAGUAAGUUAGGCCGGGCCGAACUAUGAAUACCCUCCACCAUUUGGAACAAAUUUGGAAAUUUUCAAAAAAUAAAAUCCGUUAAAAAUUCUGUUAAGAUUUUAAAAAUACCGAAUAUAGCCGUUAUAUUGGGGUCUCUACGACGAUGUGGUCCUACAUAGGCAUUGUUUGUCAUAAGCCAUUACCAUAUUUAAAUUCGAAACUUGAAAUAAACGGUAAAUAAUAUAGCUAAAAGCAAAAAUAUCGUAUAUAGGGAGGUUUAAGGUCAUUAAUCAUUCUGACAAUUCCACUUUCAUCGCUUGUGCAUGUGACAAGGCCAGGGUCAGCAGUUGCUGGGUAUAUAAAGCUGAAGAGUAGUGUAAAACUUCACAACACGUUUUUUUAACAACCUUCAACAUGCGUUUCUUUGGAAAUAUUCUAAUUUUAUUGGCUAUUGUGGCCAUGGCCUUGGGUCAGCAACAAUCUCCAUCUGCUGAUUACGAGAAUGUAGCCAAUGCUGAACCCCAACCAAGGGAAGAUCCUGCCAAGAUUGGAUUCUCCAUUGAAUUUGGAAAAUAAAAACUUUAUGGAAAUUGUGUUCUGAUUUAUGUGAAAUAAAAGAUAAAUUUAACUUAA